rnacentral:tRNA from 1 species
GCCUGGGUGGCUCAGUCAGUUGAGCAUCUGACUUCGGCUCAGGUCAUGAUCUCACAGUCCGUGAGUUCGAGCCCCGUAUCAGGCU